rnacentral:rRNA from 1 species
CCCCACUUCUGAAAGUUGACCUCGGAUCAGGUAGGAAUACCCGCUGAACUUAAGCAUAUCAAUAAGCGGAGGAAAAGAAACCAACAGGGAUUGCCUCAGUAACGGCGAGUGAAGCGGCAACAGCUCAAAUUUGAAAUCUGGCCCUAGGCCCGAGUUGUAAUUUGCAGAGGAUGCUUUUGGCGAGGUGCCUUCCGAGUUCCCUGGAACGGGACGCCAUAGAGGGUGAGAGCCCCGUCUGGUCGGACACCGAGCCUCUGUAAAGCUCCUUCGACGAGUCGAGUAGUUUGGGAAUGCUGCUCAAAAUGGGAGGUAUAUGUCUUCUAAAGCUAAAUACCGGCCAGAGACCGAUAGCGCACAAGUAGAGUGAUCGAAAGAUGAAAAGCACUUUGAAAAGAGAGUUAAAUAGCACGUGAAAUUGUUGAAAGGGAAGCGUUUAUGACCAGACUUGGCCCGGUUGAUCAUCCAGCGUUCUCGCUGGUGCACUCUGCCGGUCCAGGCCAGCAUCAGUUCGUCGCGGGGGAUAAAGGCUUCGGGAAUGUAGCUCCUCCGGGAGUGUUAUAGCCCGUUGCGUAAUACCCUGCGGUGGACUGAGGUCCGCGCUCUGCAAGGAUGCUGGCGUAAUGGUCAUCAACGACCCGUCUUGAAACACGGACCAAGGAGUCGUCUUCGUAUGCGAGUGUUCGGGUGUAAAACCCCUACGCGUAAUGAAAGUGAACGCAGGUGAGAGCUUCGGCGCAUCAUCGACCGAUCCUGAUGUUCUCGGAUGGAUUUGAGUAAGAGCAUACGGGGCCGGACCCGAAAGAAGGUGAACUAUGCCUGUAUAGGGUGAAGCCAGAGGAAACUCUGGUGGAGGCUCGCAGCGGUUCUGACGUGCAAAUCGAUCGUCAAAUAUGGGCAUGGGGGCGAAAGACUAAUCGAACCUUCUAGUAGCUGGUUUCCGCC